rnacentral:rRNA from 1 species
CCUACGGGAGGCAGCAGUAGGGAAUAUUGCUCAAUGGGGGAAACCCUGAAGCAGCAACGCCGCGUGGAGGAUGAAGGUUUUCGGAUUGUAAACUCCUUUUGUUAGAGAAGAUAAUGACGGUAUCUAACGAAUAAGCACCGGCUAACUCCGUGCCAGCAGCCGCGGUAAUACGGAGGGUGCAAGCGUUACUCGGAAUCACUGGGCGUAAAGAGCGAGUAGGCGGGAUAGCAAGUCAGAUGUGAAAUCCUAGGGCUUAACCAUAGAACUGCAUUUGAAACUGUUAUUCUAGAGUAUGGGAGAGGUAGGUGGAAUUCUUGGUGUAGGGGUAAAAUCCGUAGAGAUCAAGAAGAAUACUCAUUGCGAAGGCGACCUGCUAGAACAUAACUGACGCUGAUGCGCGAAAGCGUGGGGAGCAAACAGGAUUAGAUACCCCAGUAGUC